UAGAGUUUGAUCCUGGCUCAGGACGAACGCUGGCGGCGUGCCUAAUACAUGCAAGUCGAGCGGAUCAAUAGAGCUUGCUCCUGUUGGUUAGCGGCGGACGGGUGAGUAACACGUGGGCACCUGCCUGUAAGACUGGGAUAACACCGGGAAACCGGUGCUAAUACCGGAUAAUCCUUUUCCUCUCAUGAGGAAAAGCUGAAAGUCGGUUUCGGCUGACACUUACGAUGGGCCCGCGGCGCAUUAGCUAGUUGGUGAGGUAACGGCUCACCAAGGCGACGAUGCGUAGCCGACCUGAGAGGGUGAUCGGCCACACUGGGACUGAACACGGCCCAACUCCUACGGGAGGCAGCAGUAGGGAAUCUUCCACAAUGGACGAAAGUCUGAUGGAGCAACGCCGCGUGAGCGAUGAAGGCCUUCGGGUCGUAAAGCUCUGUUGUUAGGGAAGAACAAGUACCGGAGUAACUGCCGGUACCUUGACGGUACCUAACCAGAAAGCCACGGCUAACUACGUGCCAGCAGCCGCGGUAAUACGUAGGUGGCAAGCGUUGUCCGGAAUUAUUGGGCGUAAAGCGCGCGCAGGCGGUCCUUUAAGUCUGAUGUGAAAGCCCACGGCUCACCGUGGAGGGUCAUUGGAACUGGGGGACUUGAGUACAGAAAGGAGAGCGGAAUUCCCGUGUAGCGGUGAAAUGCUAAGAUGUGGAGGAACACCAGUGGCGAGGGCGGCUUUCUGGUCUGUACUGACCUGAGCGCGAAAGCGUGGGGAGCAAACAGGAUUAAUACCCUGGUAGUCCACGCCGUAAACGAUGAGUG
rnacentral:rRNA from 1 species